rnacentral:rRNA from 1 species
UCUUAAGCUUUUCAGAGGAAUUUGCUCUUUAAUGGAUAAAACACCUUAACCUUACUUGGUCUAGUAAAAUUCAGUUUGUAUACCACUAUAAAAAUAAUAAUUUACUUUUAUUAUUAAAAUUCUUUUUUUAGAUAAAAAUUAAGUCAAGGUGCAGCUUAAGGCUAAGAAUGAAGUGAAUUACAUUUCUUAAAAGAAAAGAAAAGUGAAACAAAAUAUUAGGAUUUGAUAGUAAAAUUAAAAUAAAAAGUUAAUUUGAAUUAAGCUCUAAGAUAU